GCCCGGCUAGCUCAGUUGGUAGAGCAUUCGACUCUUACACGGGGUUUUCGACCUUCUCCCAGGUUGCCAUCGAAUUGUCGUGGGUUCGAGCCCCACGUUGGGCG
rnacentral:tRNA from 2 species